rnacentral:tRNA from 1 species
GGGCGGCUAGCUCAGGGGUUAGAGCGCUUGCUUCACACGCAAGAGGUCAUUGGUUCAAAUCCAUUGCCGCCCA